rnacentral:rRNA from 1 species
CUCCCUGAUGUUAGCGGCGGACGGGUGAGUAACACGUGGGUAACCUGCCUGUAAGACUGGGAUAACUCCGGGAAACCGGGGCUAAUACCGGAUGGUUGUUUGAACCGCAUGGUUCAAACAUAAAAGGUGGCUUCGGCUACCACUUACAGAUGGACCCGCGGCGCAUUAGCUAGUUGGUGAGGUAACGGCUCACCAAGGCGACGAUGCGUAGCCGACCUGAGAGGGUGAUCGGCCACACUGGGACUGAGACACGGCCCAGACUCCUACGGGAGGCAGCAGUAGGGAAUCUUCCGCAAUGGACGAAAGUCUGACGGAGCAACGCCGCGUGAGUGAUGAAGGUUUUCGGAUCGUAAAGCUCUGUUGUUAGGGAAGAACAAGUACCGUUCGAAUAGGGCGGUACCUUGACGGUACCUAACCAGAAAGCCACGGCUAACUACGUGCCAGCAGCCGCGGUAAUACGUAGGUGGCAAGCGUUGUCCGGAAUUAUUGGGCGUAAAGGGCUCGCAGGCGGUUUCUUAAGUCUGAUGUGAAAGCCCCCGGCUCAACCGGGGAGGGUCAUUGGAAACUGGGGAACUUGAGUGCAGAAGAGGAGAGUGGAAUUCCACGUGUAGCGGUGAAAUGCGUAGAGAUGUGGAGGAACACCAGUGGCGAAGGCGACUCUCUGGUCUGUAACUGACGCUGA